rnacentral:rRNA from 1 species
AUGAUGUGCGGCUCCCUCUGGCAGCUCCUGGCCGUGGUCGUGGCCGUGUCAGCGGUGACGCGGGCGGUGGCCGCCCUGAAGGCUGGUCGGAGCCUGCACCGGGACUUCGACGACGGCCGGGUGGUGGAGCUGGCGCUGGACCGGGAGACGGGGUCCAGGCUGGAGUCCAAGGACCGGUACCUCUUCGGGCGGUUCGAUCUCGACAUCAGGCUCGUCGCCGGCGAGUCCGCCGGGACCAUCACUUCCUUGUACCCUCCUCCGAUGAGGGAGGUGGCUCUGCCCAGCCAUGGCCCUAGCACUCGCCGUGGGAGAGUAGGGCGGCGCCGUCGUGGGGUGGAUGACCAGGGGAUAUCCAGGAUGCCGGCGGUGGGUCGAAGAAGCAGAGAUGCAGCACAUUCUCUUCCUCUCUUCCUUGCUGACGACGCGUCCCGCAAGGUGAUGCGUUCUCGUCUCUUCCCUUCUGGUUGCACGUCAGCUCCUUUUUCCAAUCCCAUGCUCUGCUCUCCUCAUGCCCCUCCUCCUCUUGCUCCUCCUAUGUAUUUUUUUAAUUUCUUUUGUGCGAUUUUACUCAAUGGUGCUUGCACGUCCAUGGAUCUAGAAGUAGCAUGUUCAUUCUUCUUAGUUCAUGUUUUAUGUGUAGCAUUUCGUAGGCUAAAAAUUGAAAGGAGAUGUGAUGAUACUGUCUUUUGA